AAUUAAAAUUACCUUCCUCCGCCUUCCUCUUCGUCGACUUAUCCAAGGUAUCGUGUAACAUAUUCUGCAAAAUUUGUUCUUUCAGCUAUCGCGCUUCAACAUUCGACGCGGAUGAAAGAGGGACCGAAGAAACGCGACAUUUUUGUCCAGCUUUCGCAGGAACGGAAGACUUUGCCGGUCCAGAUCCACGCGAUGCGUCACCAGCUCUAACGCGUAUUAAGAGUCCUUCCUCGGCCCGCACCGGCGAACUCUACGUUACAUUAAUCGACCAGGCCCGUCCUCGAGAGACCGGAUGAUA